CUUGGAGAAGGGAUGAUAAGGAAUUAUCACCAUGAUUUGGGAGGCCGGCAAGUUCAAAGAUCUGCAGCCUGUUGCUUAAGCUCUGGACAAAGCCAGAAGAAAUGGGCAGGUUUCACUCCCAUACCAGCCAGAUGAAUGGGCGGCUCCUUUUGAAGGGCGUUGGAUGCGUGUGUCUCUGUAAAACAUCAUUUUGAAGCAUGGACCCCAGGGAGAGAGUGUUGAGAAGUGGAAGGUGAGUGGUCCACCAAGGCUCCACCCUCAUGAAUGGAAUUACUACUCUUAUGAAAGUAGCUUCCAAGAGCUGCCUGGCCCUUCCAUUUCUUCCACAUAUGAGCACACUGCUUGUCUCUUCCAUGAUGUGGGCGGUCAGGAGUCGGUAGGAGACGCCAUCUUGGAAGCAGAGAGUGAGCCCUCACCAGACAUGGAAUCUGCCUUGAUGUUGGACUCCCUAUCUCCAGAACUGUGAGCAAUCAAUUUCCGUUACGUAUACAUUACCUCAUCUAAGGCACUUUGUAGCAGCAGCAGGGACACUGUGAAGCAGUCCUUCCCCUGGUCACUCUGUGGGGGACCCUGCCUCUGUCUCCCAUCCCUGGCUGGCUCCCUGUGCCCUCUUGGUCUUUUGGGCAUAUGUAACAUGUUCACUGUCCAGGUGCCUAGAAAAUGCGUGCAGUCUGUGGUUCUGCUCACUUUCUUUCCUUCAUCGAGCGGUGCUUCCAUAAAAAUGACUAAUCCAAUGAGAAAGCACUGGUGGAGUUUCUCAGGAGGUUCCCUUCUCAACAACAGACCUAAGAAAAGUCUUAUUUUGAGUCCCCUGCAAGAAGCUGGUACGUGGUGACUUCUGAGAUCCCUUCCAGCUCUGAUGUUUGAUGAUCACAGGGUAAAACAUGGCUUCCCUAGCAUAGAAAAGAAGCAAAUGCCAGUGCCUAGGGGAACCCUGUCAUCUUCAAGAGGACCACGUUAGACCUUCCAGCUGUUUGGCAAGUGUCAUGUGAGCUGUGGAGUGCCACCAGGAGCCAACCCUGUGAGGGGAAUCUGUAGGGCAUAUAAUACUGCGAUG